AACGAACGCUGGCGGCAGGCUUAACACAUGCAAGUCGAGCGCCCCGCAAGGGGAGCGGCAGACGGGUGAGUAACGCGUGGGAAUCUACCCAUCUCUACGGAAUAACGCAUGGAAACGUGUGCUAAUACCGUAUACGUCCUUCGGGAGAAAGAUUUAUCGGAGAUGGAUGAGCCCGCGUUGGAUUAGCUAGUUGGUGGGGUAAAGGCCUACCAAGGCGACGAUCCAUAGCUGGUCUGAGAGGAUGAUCAGCCACACUGGGACUGAGACACGGCCCAGGCUCCUACGGGAGGAAGCAGUGGGGAAUAUUGGACAAUGGGCGCAAGCCUGAGCCAGCCAUGCCGCGUGAGUGAUGAAGGCCCUAGGGUUGUAAAGCUCUUUCACCGGUGAAGAUAAUGACGGUAACCGGAGAAGAAGCCCCGGCUAACUUCGUGCCAGCCGCCGCAGUAACAC
rnacentral:rRNA from 1 species